rnacentral:rRNA from 1 species
AGACCGAUAGCGAACAAGUACCGUGAGGGAAAGAUGAAAAGUACUUUGAAAAGAGAGUCAAACAGCGCGUGAAAUUGUUGAAAGGGAAACGAUUGAAGUCAGUCGUACCGACGGGAAAUCAACUAUCUUGAGUGCGAUUUUGUGGGUAGUGAAGAGCUUAACGGCCUUCUUAUUUGCAAAUUUGUAUUCUUAUGGUGUAUUUUUUCGUAUGGUGGGUCAACAUCAAUUUUGAUCGUUAUAAAAUG